CAACAAAGCAAGUGCUCACAUAAGCUGCUGAAGUCUUAAAUGGAGAGCAGAGAUAGCUGGAGUCCUGUGGGUACUUUAAGGGAGUUUCAGGUGUGAGCUCUACAUUAUGCUGAGAUGGCUAUGUACAAGUAUAUCCAGAAUGACGGUGGAUACGUUGAAAGUCCAAUCAACUGUGCUAAAUCUUGAAUCAGUUCUCUCUGUUGCCUUUUGCAGGUUGUUUAAGUUUUGUAUAGAAGUGGAUAUUUUGAACAUUGAAACUGCACAAGGGCUUUAUGGUUGCUCUGCUCACCUCUAUUUCUUCUUCUCCUGCUAGGAAACCCCAUUAUCCUCAGAACAAGUCUCUCCACCUCCUGCUCUUGCCUGAUGCUGUAUGGCUCUGAUGGCUUGUCCUGUGUCCCCUUAGCCCAGGUGCUAAGUGGUCUCUGUUCCCUUAAAAUAACUGUUUUGGGAUGUUAUGGGUCCUGUUUUAAAAAUCCCCUCAUCCCUCUUCUUUUCUCUCUUCUAAAGGGCAGCCUUACCAUCUCCUUUUAAGAACAGAAGUCUUUUCUUUCUGCCUCUUAAAGUCAGUAGCUGGUUUGUCACCCAAUAACAAAAGCCCACAAUAUCCUGACCUCAAAGACUAGGAAGGUAGGUGGUGCUAAGGUCAGGGAUUGGGAGUCUUAGAGAGCCAGCAACACAGUGUCAUCUCUCUGAAAAGUAAAUUUCCAGUAGCUAGCAAGAGAUUUACAAAUGCUGAAAUCUCUUAGUCUACUAAUUCCUUUCAUACAAUCAAAGAUAUGUGCAAAGAUUUAUGUUC
rnacentral:lncRNA from 1 species